AUUGAACGCUGGCGGCAGGCCUAACACAUGCAAGUCGAACGGUAGCAGGAAGAAGCUUGCUUCUUCGCUGGCGAGUGGCGGACGGGUGAGUAAUGUCUGGGAAACUGCCUGAUGGAGGGGGAUAACUACUGGAAACGGUAGCUAAUACCGCAUAACGUCGCAAGACCAAAGAGGGGGACCUUCGGGCCUCUUGCCAUCGGAUGUGCCCAGAUGGGAUUAGCUUGUUGGUGGGGUAACGGCUCACCAAGGCGACGAUCCCUAGCUGGUCUGAGAGGAUGACCAGCCACACUGGAACUGAGACACGGUCCAGACUCCUACGGGAGGCAGCAGUGGGGAAUAUUGCACAAUGGGCGCAAGCCUGAUGCAGCCAUGCCGCGUGUAUGAAGAAGGCCUUCGGGUUGUAAAGUACUUUCAGCGGGGAGGAAGGGAGUAAAGUUAAUACCUUUGCUCAUUGACGUUACCCGCAGAAGAAGCACCGGCUAACUCCGUG
rnacentral:rRNA from 1 species